rnacentral:rRNA from 1 species
ACUCCUACGGGAGGCAGCAGUGGGGAAUAUUGCACAAUGGGCGAAAGCCUGAUGCAGCCAUGCCGCGUGUGUGAUGAAGGCCUUAGGGUUGUAAAACACUUUCAUCGGUGAAGAUAAUGACGGUAGCCGAAGAAGAAGCCCCGGCUAACUCCGUGCCAGCAGCCGCGGUAAUACGGAGGGGCAAGCGUUGUUCGGAAUUAGCUGGGCGUAAAGCGCGCGUAGGCGGACUGGUCAGUUGGGGGUGAAAUGCCCGACGGCUUAACCUCGGAACUGCCUUCAAUACUGCCAGUCUUGAGAUCGGAAGAGGUGAGUGGAAUUCCUAGUGUAGAGGUGAAAUUCAUAGAUAUUAGGAAGAACACCAGUGGCGAAGGCGGCUCACUGGUCCGAUACUGACGCUGAGGUGCGAAAGCGUGGGGAGCGAACAGGAUUAGAUA